rnacentral:rRNA from 1 species
CUGUUCGCCAUUUAAAGUGGUACGUGAGCUGGGUUUAAAACGUCGUGAGACAGUUUGGUCCCUAUCUGCCGUGGGCGUUGGAAGUUUGAGAGGGGCUGCUCCUAGUACGAGAGGACCGGAGUGGACGCACCUCUGGUGUACCGGUUGUCACGCCAGUGGCAUUGCCGGGUAGCUAUGUGCGGAAGAGAUAACCGCUGAAAGCAUCUAAGCGGGAAACUCGCCUCAAGAUGAGACUUCCCGGAGGCUCGAACUCCCUGAAGGGUCGUCCUAGACCAGGACGUUGAUAGGCGGGGUGUGCAAGGGCUGCGAGGCCUUGAGCUAACCCGUACUAAUUGCCCGUGCGGCUUGACCCU